UCUUGGAUGACAUGGGGGUGAGUAAAUUAUCAGGAAUUUUUUGUUUGAAAGUGAACUAAUCCUUUAACAUUAACCAGCUCCAGAGUUUAAGUAUUUAUGCAAUGAAACGCGUUGUGUGCUGGUUUAUUAUUAAUCAUUAUUACCUGUCUCAGCCCGAUGAAAUGUUAUUAAUGUGCCAAUUUACAGGAGAUCUCAGACAUCACCAAAACAAAUGAGGUGAAAACCGAGAACUUUUGGAGACAAAGAUGCUUUUCGGCAACUUGGUUAAACAUGAUGAGCCAGUAAUUUCUGUCAAGAAUCUGGUGCCCCUUCUACAACAAUUCACCAAUACUGGGAAUAUUCCCUUCAUCCUACAAGGAUAAACUCCAGGUGUAGCAGCUGAAAUCUGUGUUCAAAACAUUAAAAAUGGCGAUUGUUAAAGAGGAGAUUGAAAACAUGAGUGAUCCAGAACCAUCCAGAAUAAAACAUGAAGAUACUGAGGAACAAACAGACAUGAUGGAAGUGAAACAAAGACAUAAACUGAAUGACGUGAAGGAGGAACAUUGCGACUGCAAAACUCAAAGAGAAAAUGCCAAAAAGCUGCACACCUG